rnacentral:rRNA from 1 species
CCUACGUGCGACAGCAGUGAGGAAUAUUGGUCAAUGGGCUUACGCCUGAACCAGCCAAGUCGCGUGAGGGAAGACUGCCCUAUGGGUUGUAAACCUCUUUUGUCAGGGAGCAAUUGGCGCUACGUGUAGCGUUAUCGAGAGUACCUGACGAAAAAGCAUCGGCUAACUCCGUGCCAGCAGCCGCGGUAAUACGGAGGAUGCGAGCGUUAUCCGGAUUUAUUGGGUUUAAAGGGUGCGUCGGCGGAAUGCCAAGUCAGCGGUAAAAUCGCGGGGCUCAAACUCGCUCCGCCGUUGAAACUGGCGUUCUUGAGUGGGCGAGAAGGAUGCGGAAGGCGUGGUGUAGCGGUGAAAUGCAUAG